GGAUAUGAGGGAUCUGGCUGUGACAUUUCUUACUCCACUGAUCACCAGAAUUGAUUUGGCUGAUCUGGCUCCCUAAGCAGGUGACCCCUUCCUCCCUAAUGGCUCCAUGUGCUUCCCAUCUGAAAGCUGUAUGAAGAGGAUGACUUUCCCCAAUGGAGGGGGGGCUGUUCUUUGGUCCAGUGUUGAGGAAAAGUUGCUUUUCCUUGCUAGAGUCUUCAAACAAGCUCUCAAGAAAUACUGUGCCCAUAAUUGGAGAGGUCAUAAACGCUAAAGAUCCUAUUACUGCCACUUUCCUAAU
rnacentral:snRNA from 1 species